rnacentral:rRNA from 2 species
GGUUUCCGUAGGUGAACCUGCGGAAGGAUCAUUACCGAGUGAGGGCCCUCUGGGUCCACCUCCCACCCGUGUUUAUUUUACCUUGUUGCUUCGGCGGGCCCGCCUUAACUGGCCGCCGGGGGGCUUACGCCCCCGGGCCCGCGCCCGCCGAAGACACCCUCGAACUCUGUCUGAAGAUUGUAGUCUGAGUGAAAAUAUAAAUUAUUUAAAACUUUCAACAACGGAUCUCUUGGUUCCGGCAUCGAUGAAGAACGCAGCGAAAUGCGAUACGUAAUGUGAAUUGCAAAUUCAGUGAAUCAUCGAGUCUUUGAACGCACAUUGCGCCCCCUGGUAUUCCGGGGGGCAUGCCUGUCCGAGCGUCAUUUCUGCCCUCAAGCACGGCUUGUGUGUUGGGCCCCGUCCUCCGAUCCCGGGGGACGGGCCCGAAAGGCAGCGGCGGCACCGCGUCCGGUCCUCGAGCGUAUGGGGCUUUGUCACCCGCUCUGUAGGCCCGGCCGGCGCUUGCCGAUCAACCCAAAUUUUUAUCCAGGUUGACCUCGGAUCAGGUAGGGAUACCCGCUGAACUUAAGCAU